UUNAUGUGUACAUUUUGCAUGAAAAGGAAAACUCUCCUCUACCAUUCAGUGCUGCUCAGUCAAAAUCAAUACCAAGAUUACAACCGGAGACAAGACAAAAUGGAACGAAUCUGCCUGGAUAUUCCACCAACUUGCCAGUUUACAACUGCAAUAGUCUGCAAUCAGAAACAAGACAAAUGAAUAUGGGUGUUUCUAGAAAUUUAGCUGACUCUACUCCACAAGCUUUAAAUGCCAAAGUCUCUACUAUUAUUGCAAGUGAUAACAAUGCAAAUCAAUCUAACUUAGAAAUAAAUUCCAAUGGUUUGAGCUCUGAAUUUCAAGAUCUUAAUAUCUCAAAACAUAGCACUGCAAGAAAGCAAACUAAAUCUGUAAAAUCACGUCUUCCCAGAAAGAAUUAAUUUCUCUAUAUUUGAAUAAAUUAUUUUGAAUUUUUCCAGUUCCAGGUAUGUUUGUUAUUUGUAUAAUGUAAAUAAUGUGUUAUUUUUUUGAAGAAGAAAAAAUUUUAUUAAUUGUAUAUAUUUUAUAUGAGAUUUCUUUUUAUUGUAAAAAUAAAAGAUAUAUUCUGUGAAUACUUAA